GCUAUCAUACAUUGGCCUAGUAGUUAGAGCAUCCGCCUCCGAUGCGGGAGGUCGCGGAUUCGAACCCAGUCUGAGCCA